rnacentral:rRNA from 1 species
UACGAAGGGGGCUAGCGUUGUUCGGAAUCACUGGGCUUAAAGGGCGCGUAGGCGGGCUCACAAGUCCGGGGUGAAAGCCCCCAGCUCAACUGGGGAAGCGCCUUGGAUACUGUGGGCCUCGAGGGAGGUAGGGGCGUGCGGAACUUCCGGUGGAGCGGUGAAUGCGUAGAUAUACGGAAGGAACACCGGUGGCGAAAGCGGCGCGCUGGACCUCUUCUGACGCUGAGGCGCGAAAGCCAGGGGAGCAAACGGG